CCUACGGGUGGCUGCAGUGGGGAAUCUUGCGCAAUGGGCGAAAGCCUGACGCAGCGACGCCGCGUGAGCGAUGAAGGCCCUCGGGUUGUAAAGCUCUGUGGGUGGGGAAGAAUAAGUGCAAGUUAAUAUCUUGCAUGAUGACGGUACCCGCUUAGCAAGCACCGGCUAACUCUGUGCCAGCAGCCGCGGUAAGACAGAGGGUGCAAACGUUGUUCGGAAUCACUGGGCGUAAAGCGCGUGUAGGCGGCAGUGCAAGUCGGAUGUGAAAUCCCGCG
rnacentral:rRNA from 1 species